ACCUGUUGUUCUGUUGCAACAUUUACAAUAGAAUGUUGUAUUUGGUUUGUGAAUUAUAUUUUGAAAUUAACAACUUCAAAUAUUCAAGCUGGGGAUCAUUAUUGGUUCAUUAGAGACUCGGUCGUAUUUGGGGAAGUGCAGGGGUGGCUGUUGGCCAUUGUUAAUUGACACUUCAGACUCGGAGAAUGUUAACCAAUGGGGUGAGGUUUUAGGGUGAAUGUCAACCAAUCAGCGGCCGGGUUUGGUUGGCUGCCGGGUAUAAAAGGAAGGAUGAGCCAAACUGCACUUCAGUGUGUUUUACCUCACUUUUAGUAUACAGUUCAGCUUCGUCUCUUGAAGGUGGGAUCCAGUUGAUGUGGACAACGAGCGAGGCAGGAGGACCUGGCGGCGGUCAUCGGGGUACACCAGCUGUCCUAAAACUGUCACACUGGAGGGAUCGGGCGACCACAGCCGACAACAGGGAAGGCGACGAGGACGGUCUCUGGGUACUGAAGAACGUCCAUAACGGCAUAGUGGCACGACACUGCCUGGCAUCACGUAAAGACAUCAAAGGCUGGUCUCGCAGAUGAUUAAGUUUGUCAGAAAAUCACCUGGUGUACCGAGUGAAGUUGUAAAAUAAAAUUUAAACUAACACAAUAUUAAGUAUUCCCUCCCCACCCCUCACUACAGGCCAGUGUAGGUGCAUUACUUGUAAAACCUGCUUGUGGCACAAUUUUUGGACCUGGGCCCCCAGGGACCUCGCUAGGUAUCUACACAGAAUGACUUCUGUGUUUGACGAGUUGGUAUCUGAAAAACUUUAACGCUGGCUAGUCCGUUCUAUAAUACAU